rnacentral:rRNA from 1 species
GACGUAGGGCGCGAGCGUUGUCCGGAUUUAUUGGGCGUAAAGAGCUCGUAGGCGGCUUGUCGCGUCGACCGUGAAAACUUGGGGCUCAACCCCAAGCCUGCGGUCGAUACGGGCAGGCUCGAGUUCGGUAGGGGAGACUGGAAUUCCUGGUGUAGCGGUGAAAUGCGCAGAUAUCAGGAGGAACACCGGUGGCGAAGGCGGGUCUCUGGGCCGAUACUGACGCUGAGGUGCGAAAGCCAGGGGAGCGAACGGG